rnacentral:lncRNA from 1 species
ACUGAUGCUGCCAAGUGCCACACUUUUGUUACGACGCUGAGAAAAGAUGCGAGACAGUGGAUGGGAACUUUGCCGUCAGAUUCGAUAUCCUCUUGGACCGAGCUUUGUGAUAAGUUUCAUGCCCGUUUUGGGAGUAACCGAAGAAGAGGAAAGCCUACGGGUUCUCUGGCACAGAUCCGGCAGUUUACCAGCGAAUCUUUGGGCCAG